AUUGAACGCUGGCGGCAGGCUUAACACAUGCAAGUCGAGCGGAGUGAUGGUGCUUGCACUAUCACUUAGCGGCGGACGGGUGAGUAAUGCUUAGGAAUCUGCCUAUUAGUGGGGGACAACAUCUCGAAAGGGAUGCUAAUACCGCAUACGUCCUACGGGAGAAAGCAGGGGAUCACUUGUGACCUUGCGCUAAUAGAUGAGCCUAAGUCGGAUUAGCUAGUUGGUGGGGUAAAGGCCUACCAAGGCGACGAUCUGUAGCGGGUCUGAGAGGAUGAUCCGCCACACUGGGACUGGAACACGGCCCAGACUCCUACGGGAGGCAGCAGUGGGGAAUAUUGGACAAUGGGGGGAACCCUGAUCCAGCCAUGCCGCGUGUGUGAAGAAGGCCUUAUGGUUGUAAAGCACUUUAAGCGAGGAGGAGGCUCUUUUGGUUAAUACCCAAGAUGAGUGGACGUUACUCGCAGAAUAAGCACCGGCUAACUCUGUGCCAGCAGCCGCAGUAA
rnacentral:rRNA from 1 species